GUAAAAUAUGUACAGAUGAAGAAACUCACCAAACCAGAGAACGUAAGCAUCUGCAUGACCAGGGUGAAGAGUGUGGGAGCAAUCCUUUUCAGUGGUGCUGGCAUCCAGUCUCAGCUGCUUGAACUACACGGAGGUACAUUUACAGAAAUGAAAAUAAGAAUCACAACGAACACUUUGCAACAAAAAUACACCUUUAUUGAACUUUGACAUUUAUAUCAUUUCUAAAUAAAAUAUGUUGUGUUAUUUUAGGCAUCUUUUAAACUGGCAAGCACUUCAAGAAGUGGUAUAUAAAUAUGGCACGUUUGUAUGUGUAUCUCAGGGGUUAAUUAUGCUAGUACAUAGAAUUAUCUUUCAAAAGAAUAUUAGCAAUUACCAUACUGGAAGCAUUAUAAUUUUUUUUUAGUGGUGCUUUAGAUAACACGUGUAUUCCUUCUCAGCAGAGAAAAAGGCCCAAAAGUACUCUGUGGUCUUAUCUCUCGAUCCUAAUUUAAGGCUGUAAAAGAAGAGUAUCCAAAUGAAC
rnacentral:lncRNA from 1 species